GUUUCAACCCCUGAAAGGGUCUUAGUCAAGCUUGACAAAGCCCUUUUUAGGGGACAAAACAUUGCGGUGUCUCAUUUAUCCAAAUACAGGUAACAAGCUGAGAUAAGGAGUACUCAAUUAAGAGAGUGUUCCUAAUCUCAGCUCAUUACCUGUAUAAAAGACACCUGGGAGCCAGAAAUCUUGCCAAUUGAUAAGGGAUCAAAUACUUAUUUC